ACCUUAAAGGUCUCAGUGCCGCAGCUAACGCAAAUAAGCAUUCCACCUGGGGAGUACGAUCGCAAGAUUGAAACUCAAAGGAAUUGACGGGGGCCCGCACAAGCGGUGGAGCAUGUGGUUUAAUUCGAAGCAACGCGAAGAACCUUACCAAAACUUGACAUCCUAUUGAAUACCUUCUAAUAGAGGUCGGCCUUUCGGGGACAAUAGAGACAGGUGGUGCAUGGUUGUCGUCAGCUCGUGUCGUGAGAUGUUGGGUUAAGUCCCGCAACGAGCGCAACCCUUAUCUUUAGUAGCCAUCAUUCAGUUGGGCACUCUAGAGAGACUGCCGUGGAUAACACGGAGGAAGGUGGGGAUGACGUCAAAUCAUCAUGCCCCUUAUGUUUUGGGCUACACACGUGCUACAAUGGCUACGACAAAGAGAAGCAAAACCGCGAGGUCGAGCAAAACUCAAAAAAGUAGUCUCAGUUCGGAUUGUAGUCUGCAACUCGACUACAUGAAGCUGGAAUCGCUAGUAAUCUCGGAUCAGAAUGCCGAGGUGAAUACGUUCCCGGGCCUUGUACACACCGCCCGUCACACCACGGAAGCUUGGAGGACCCGAAGCCUGUGAUCCAAGCGUAAGCAGGAAGCAGUCGAAGGUAAAACAAGUGACUGGGGUGAAGUCGUAACAAGGUAA
rnacentral:rRNA from 1 species